rnacentral:rRNA from 1 species
UACAGAGACUGCAAGCGUUAUUCGGAUUCACUGGGCGUAAAGGGUGCGCAGGCGGUUGGAUGUGUCAGAUGUGAAAAUCCCGAGGCUCAACCUCGGAACUGCGUCUGAAACUACUCGACUAGAGUACUGGAGAGGGUAACGGAAUUCACGGUGUAGCAGUGAAAUGCGUAGAUAUCGUGAGGAACACCAGAGGCGAAGGCGGUUACCUGGACAGUUACUGACGCUCAGGCACGAAAGCAUGGGGAGCAAAAAGGG